ensembl:lncRNA
ACUGGAACAUCCUCGCCUGCUUUCUGCGAUGUCUGUUUUCAGUCAGAAGUCGAAGCCUGUCAGAUGGAGUCAGGAGAUGAGUGCCAGUCAGAACAUCGUUGACAGCAGCAAGAAGAAGACCAGUCUGCUGAAAGACAACUGCUGGAUCAGACGCAGCAUGGAGGAGGAGGAGGAGCUAGUGGAGUAAGUGGGACACACACACACACACUCACUGUGUGGAGAGGUUCUGAGCUGUCUCAAAUCUACGGACACUGUCACCAUGGUUAGAAGUUUACCAGUGUCAAACAUCUAAAUGAUUUGACAAUAUCAAAUUUGGUAGAAUUCUCUCUCUCUAACAUCCAUCUCCCUCUGUCUAUUUAAUGCUAACCACAGCCUGSAGUCGGAGGUGGGCCAGCCCGUCCCUGCCAGCCCCAGCACCCCAGUCAACCAUCUGACCAAGAGCCCUCCACUUCCUCCGAAGACCAAGACUGUGUCCUUCGUUUUAAGCACCACCUCAAAGAGCAUGAAAGAUCCCAAGACUGCCAUGAGUCCUGGGAGCACCUCCCCAAAGUCCCUAAACUCCCCAAAGUCCCUAAACUCCCCAAAGUCCCUAAACUCCCCAAAAAGCUCAUCACUGAAGAGCCCAUCCAUUUCCCUCUUUACUGCAAGGGUCUUUUCCUCACCAAAAAAACUAUUCUACUCCCCACUAAGCCCUCCAGAGGUACUCCCCCACACCAUUACCCACAUCACUGAUGAAGAGCCCCCGGCAGUCCCAACAACUCCACCACCUCCAACAACUCUACCACCACCACCUUCUCCAACAACUCUACCACCACCACCUCCUCCAACAACUCUACCACCACCACCGCCCACCAUCUCCAACAACUCUAACCACACCACCCUCCUCCAACAACUCUACCACCACCACCACCUCCUCCAACAACUCUACCACCACCACCACCUCCUCCAACACUCUACCACAACCACCUCCCCAACAACUCUACCACCACCACCUCCUCCAACAACUCUACCACCACCAACCCUCCUCCACAACUCUACCACCACCACCUCCUCCAACACCCACCACCAACAACUCCACCUCAUCCACCACCACCUCCAACAACAACUCCACCACCACCUCCAACAACUCCACCUCCAACAACAACUCCACCACCACCACCUCCAACAACUCCACCACCACCACCUCCAACAACUCCACCACCACCACCAACAACUCCAAUGCCCCAAGUUUCAAUCAGUGAGAUCAGGAGUGUGACCAAGGGCCUGUGUUCGUACUGCUGUCAACCGAUGGUGGCUGGAGCCAACAAUCCUGGAGGAUCUACAGAUCUACAGCCACCAUCCUGCUUCAAGGUAAAGCAACACACCAGUCUAUUCAACAUAUAUCUAUGUGUGUCCCAAUUGCCUCUCCUAAGCUCUUUAAACUGCACUACUUCAGACCAGGCCCAAUGGAUCCUAUAGGCUCUGGUCAAAAGUAGUGCACUAUAUAGGGAAUAGUGUGGCAUUUUCACACACCACAGUACGUCUCACAUGUCACACGUCUAUCUAUUCAACACACAUCUACAGAACGUCUACAUGUCUAUCUAUCAAAACACAUCUACAGGACGUCACGUCUAUCUAUUCAACACACAUCUACAGUACAUCUACACUCUAUCUAUCAACACACACUACAGAACAUCUACACAUCUAUCUAGUCAACACAAUCUACAGAAGGUCUACACGUCAUCUAUUCAACACACAUCUACAGUACGUCUAUCUAUUCAACACAUUACAGGACGUCUAUCUAUUCACACACAUCUACAGGACAGGACGUCUACACGUCUAUCUAUUCAACACACAUCUACAGAACUCGCUACACGUCUAUCUAUUCAACACACACAUCUACAGGACGUCUACACGUCUACUACAGGAAGUCCACACAUCUAUCUAUUCAAACACACAUCUACAGGACGUCUACACGUCAUCUAUUCAAAACACAUCUACAGGAAGUCACACAUCUUCCACAUAGUUGUGCUGUAGUGAUAACUGGAUAUGCCCUCUAGAUGUGUAUCAUGUGUGCAGUCAGGCAGGCAGUCAGUCAUCAGUAGGCAGGCAGUCAGUCAAUCAGUUGGCAGUCAGUCAGUCAAUCAGUUGGCAGUCAGUCAGUCAGUCAAUCAGUAGGCAGGCAGUCAGUAAUCAGUUGGCAGUCAGUCAGUCAAUCAGUUGGCGUCAGUCAGUCAGUCAAUCAGUUGGCAGUCAGUCAGUCAGUCAUUUGGCAGUCCAGUCAGUCAAUCAGUUGGCAGUCAGUCAGUCAAUC